GCACCCCCCUCCCUCUCACUGCCGGCCGCCCCGCCCCCGCGUCGACGAGUAGUCCUACACAGUGCAUACGGUGGUGCACGCACACGCGCUCACUGACGCGCCCAUCAUCAUCCCUGUCCCCUACCCCUCCCCCACUCGUGCGCUGUGCUGGUGUUUGCGCCGGCUCCAGCAGGCGCAGCUCACAACCAAAGCCUGCUGCUGCUGCUCAUCCUCAUCAUGACGGCGUGUGCAGCCAGCUGAUCGGGCGCAGGCGCCUCCCUUCAUGCACCUGCUCUUAAUGGGUACGCACUCCUCAUGUCGCUUCUUCUUGGAUGGUUUCUCAUUUUCUAGGCCAUUUUUGAGGUUCCUGCUGCGCCCUUCUUGGCGCUGCUCUGCUCUCCUCUCCUCUGCGCAUUUCUUGGUUCUAGACUUCUCUCUUCCUUCUUGGAACUCCAUGUAUGCCCCUCCUCCUCGGUCUUUGCGAAAGCGAUUUUCACAAGCUUGUCAUCUUCUUGCUGUGGUAGGUACCGCUCCUAUGCACGUAGUUUACUUAUAACCACGUUUACUUCUUGGGUUGGGCAUUCGCACCUGCAUUACUCUAUUCGUUCAACAAGAGGUUUUACUAGCAACAGAUUCCAGUUUGAUUUAAAGGGAAGGGAAUGGUGCAUUGGUGACGGUCACAUCGCAUCGCCCCCUUUCGCCACUUCCUGCUUCUUAUUCCUUCCUCUAAAGCUGCAUCCAUCCCAUCUUUUUCUUUUCCGCUUUUGCUCUUUCCCCUUUGAUCGGUUUCGAUGCCGCCACACUCUUCAUCUUGACCGCAUCACUCACCACCACCCACAUUGUGCUGCCUGCCAUUGCUCUCUCUGUCUCUGUCUCACUCUCGCUCUUGAUCUCGUCUUGCUGGGAAGCAGAGGAACUUCCGG
rnacentral:lncRNA from 1 species